rnacentral:misc_RNA from 1 species
AACGCACAUUGCGCCCGCCAGUAUUCUGGCGGGCAUGCCUGUCCGAGCGUCAUUUCAACCCUCGAGCCCCCCAGGGCUUGGUGUUGGGGAUCGGCCCGCCCCGUCAGCGGCGCGCCGGCCCCGAAAUCUAGUGGCGGUCUCGCUGUAGCCUCCUCUGCGUAGUAGCACACCUCGCACUGGAACGCAGCGCGGCCACGCCGUUAAACCCCCCACUUCUGAAGGUUGACCUCGGAUCAGGUAGGAAUACCCGCUGAACUUAA